rnacentral:lncRNA from 1 species
AAGGAAUCAAGCAAGUAAAGGUAAGAUUUUUUAAUUUUAGCUUAAGAUCUACCUUUCCCAUGAUUUCUUUUUCAUUUUCUAUGGUUGAAACUCAAGAUUUCAUGAAGGAAAGUUUGCUGGCCAAACCUAGGGGGAGAGGUUUUGAUCACGGGUUUUGUUAGAUUUCAUGCUAUAUACGCGUUUUUAGUUGUCUUGUGAUAUUCGGUGUGAAAAACAAGCAUGAAACCACAUGUUCUUCAUCAAACCCUCCUUGGCCGAAUUUACUAAAGGACAUAUUGAUGAUGAAUCUUGUUAUAUCUCAUGCUAUUUAACUCGUAUUUGAUGAAUUGUGGUAUCGGAUAUUGAAAACGGUUAUGGAAACGUAUGGUUCCUUUAGUAAACGAUUUGAACAACAAUGAGAAAAUCGAGUUCAUUGAGGUACUUUGGGUGUAAUUAGAGUAUUGGAAGUGUAAUGAAUAUAUUUGGAGUUGAAUCGGAUGUUUUGGUUAAAUCAAUGGUGUAUAGUUCGAAUUAGGUCGAAUACAAAUUCAUUCCGAUCACAAUUGAACCUACGUAGAACACCGUCUUUAAGUGGUUAUUUGGACACUUCUCAUUCCAUUUCAUGCAUUCAUGUAGAGCCUGAAAUAGUUUUAUAACAAUUUGGCACAAAUGUGUUAAAUUACUUGUUGUGUACUAGGUAUAGGUGGUGAGCCCCCUGGUAAGAGUAAGGAUAUCAUACCCGAGGACUAAGAAUAGGAGUACUCGAUACUCCCGUUAAGGUGAGUAAUCAUAUGAUCAUCUUAAAUAUCUAAAGUAGUUUAUACCCGUUUUUUAUGUUUUAAAGAAAAAGGAAUUUAAAUUGCAAACUAUUAUAUUUUAUAAUUGAAGUGUUGAUUAAACGAAAAUGAGGUUUAUAACUUGUUUUGAAAUUGAGUACUGGUUUUGAAAAUUGAGUAAGUGGAGACUGUAUACUUAUGUUAUAUAUAUGUUUUGACAUAUGGUUUGAAUUGAUGGCUUAUGACAAUGUGAUGGCAAGCAUGGCUGGAUUUGUGUUUGUGUGGAAUAUAUGAACUAUUUUGCUUUGCCUUGACAGGCUGGUAAUAUUAUAUUAGCCAUGUCAUGUUAUCGAAAAUUUUAUUGAAUUGGUGGGAUAAUUGAUUAGCUUACUGUAGUGGGCGGGUUUCCGUGGACCAGCCUAUUAAAGAGGCACAGUAAACCCAGUUAUAUUUUACCUUGGUACGAGAGGUGCGGAGGGUAUCUCUUAAGGUAAUGUUAGAGUUCACUUCAUGCCGAACCACCACAUAAGGGUGAAACUCGACCAACGCCUAGGAACGGCUGCGCUUUUAAAUGAAAAAAAAAUGAGUUUUAUACUCAUAUGUUAUUUUAACAGCCUUGACGGACUCGGUUGGAUGCCCGAGCGCAAGUUGUCAUCGAGUGUAAAUCUUGACACGAGCCAAGUUUUUACGACAAUCAUAAGCCUUGUUGAUUUUUACGAAAUGAAAUUGAUUUAUAUGAAAUGAGAUUUGAUGUUAUGAAUCAUAUUAUGAUGAGAUAUUUUAAAUUGUCUCCAUUUACUCAGCUUUAGAUGUUGUAGAUGAACUUUGCUUACUCACUAGGUUUAUAAAAGCUCACCACCCUCCUUUCACACAUUUCAGGCUUAGGGAAGUCUGUAGACCACUGAUUAUGUUGAGGGUUUGCUUUUGGGUUUGCACCCUUAGAAAUCCCAAGUCUAUAGUCUUGUACAUAUAUGUUUAUUUUGGGGGCCCACAUGUCAUUGUAGAAUAUUUUGUAUACCUAGCUGCGUGUGCCACUAUAUGUAUGAAUUUAUUUUACUUUUAUACUACAAAAAUUAUGUCAAGCUCAGCUUUACAAUAUGUUUAUUAUGCCAUUCCUACAUAAGAAUGCAUGUUUGCUUACUUGGGUACCUUGGAAAUCGUGAAAGGACGGUAUUGUACCAAAUGGUACAAUUAAGUUGAAUUAAGCCUCGAACUAGUCCAAAUAAAGAUUGUAAGAUGAAAUUGAGAAUUUUAAAACCCCAGAAUGACUUAAAAUGAUGAUUCAGAGUUCGAGGACCGAUUUGGAGUCAAAUUGGAAUUUUCAUGACCUAGGGGCAAAAUGGUCAUUUUGCCACCCAAGGUUAAGAUGUGAGUGUUGGAUGAAAUUUUUGACUAAGAUUGAUCAUUUGGAGUAUAAUUUGAGUUUGAGAAGUGAAGAAUUUUAAUUCCGGCAUUUUUUCGAGCAUAAGGGCAAAAUAGUCAUUUUGCCACCCCAGGGGCAAAAUUGUAAUUUUACACACCCAACACUAGUCCAGCACAUGAAUUUCACCCAUUAUUAUCAUGGAUAAUUGAAGGAUUUUAUGUGGUGGAGAAAGAAAGCUUAAUAGUUAAGAAUUUAAAAAUGGACCAAUGGUAAGGUGACAAGUGUCAAGCUUUAUUUCUUUAUUAUUUUCCUUAUAAAUUAGCACAAAAUCAGCCUAGUUCUCUUCAUUAUGGCCGGCCAAAGCAAGAACAAAGGAAGAAAAGAAAGAACAAGAACCCUAGGGUGAAAAUUCAAGAGAAACUUGCUGGAUUUCAAGUAAUCAAGCAAUCAAAGGUAAAAUUUCUUGAUUUUGACUUGUGAUCUACCUUUCCCAUACAUGCUUUUGCAUUUUCCAUGGUUGAAACACAAGAUAUCAUGAAGGAUAGUGUGCUGAUCAAACCCUAGGAGAGAGAAUUUGAUGAUGAUUUAGAUAGAUUUUUAAGAUAUAUGGAUAUUUUUAGUUGUUUAUGGUGUUAAGUGUAAGAAUUAAGCUUGAAAUUCACAUAUUCCUCAUGAGUUCAUCAUCAGCCGAAUCUUCCUUGUAAAGUGUUGAUGGUGGAUUUGAUUUUAUUUCAAGUGAAUUGGUUAGGAAAUGAUGAAUUAUGGUGAGAAAAUUAAGUAGGAAAAAUCAUAGUGUUGAUGCACUCACCAUGGCCGAAUUUUUCAAGAGAAAAUGUGAGGAUGAUUUUGCCAUAUUUCAAGUUAUUUAAUUUGUGUUUGAUGAUUUGGAGUAUUAGGGAGUAAAAUGGAAUUAUUUGGAGUUAAAUUGGACAUAUUGGCCAAUUAAUCAAGUUAUAGAUCGAAUUAGGCCAAUACCGUUUUAUUUAGGUACACAAUUGAAUUUGUGUAGAACACUGUGUUUAGAUGAUAAUCCGAACAAUUUGCUUUCCAUUUCAUACAUUAGUAUAGAGCCUGAAUUGGUUUUAUAACAAUUUAGCACAAAUGUAGUAAAUGGCUUAUUGUGCAUUAUGUCUAGUUGGUGAGCAUUCUGGUAAAAGUAAAUAGAUAGUAUCCGAGGAUCAAGAAUCACAGUACUCGAAAUUCGACUCUCGAAAUAGUGAGUAACCUUACUAUCGUCUUAAUUAUCUAUAAUGGUUUUUAUCUGAUUUUGUGAUUUUAUGGAAAAUGAGUUUAAAUGGUAAAUCUUUUAUGUUUUAUAAGCAAAAUGUGAUUAAAUGAAAAUGAUUUUAUAAAAUUAUCUUGAAAUUGAAAGAUGGUUUUGAAAAUGGAGUAAUUGGAGACUAAUUGUUGUGUUAUAAAUCAUGGUUUGAAUUGAAUGGCUUAUGAUAAUAUUUGCAUGAAUGGCUGAAUUGGUAUUUGUGUUGAAAAUGUAUGAACUGUUAAUUUGCCUUGAGAGAUUGUAAAAUAAAAUAAUUGUCAUGUCAUGCUAUUGAAUUUUAUUGAAUUGGUGGGUUAAAUAUUAGUCGCUGCAGUGGACGGGUUCCGUGGACCAGCCUAUUAGAGAGGCACGAUAACCCUAUUAUAUUCAUACCUCAGUAUGCGAGGCGCGGUUGGAUAACUCCUAAGGUUAAAACUUUAGAGUUCACUUCACGCCAAACCACCACGUGAGGAUGAACUCAGCUAACGCCAAGGAACGACUAUGUUUUCAAAAUAAAAACAUGAUUUAUGCAUACAUAACUUUUUAACAGCAUUGGCGGUCUCGAUUGGGAUAGCUCUCGGCCAAGGUAUCCCUGAUAACUGAGUAUGAGAAUGAUUUUGACACGAGCCAAAGUUUUAAGAAAUUCAUAUGUCAUGUUGAUUACUCGAUUUAUAUGAAUUGAUUUUAUUUGGUUGAAAUGAGUUGAAAGGUGAUGAAUUACAGUAUGUUAAACUAUUUUAUCUGUCUCCAUUUACUCAGCUUUAGAUAUUUUAAAUGGUAUUUGUUUACUCACUGGGAUUAUAUAAUCUCACCACCCUCCUUUCCACCCAUUUCAGGCUCAGGAUAGUCGGUAGAUAGCUUAUUUCGUUGAGGGCUACAGUUGGACUUGCAUCCUCAAAAACUGUAAGUUUACCUCUUUUGAUACUUUUGAUCGUUCAUGGGCUCACGUGUCACUGUAAAUUAAAUUUUAUACUUUGAUUUUCUGUAUUACAGUAUGUAUUAAUUUAUUUAGCUUUUAUGUUACAAAAAUCAUUUACCGGUAACUCUAUAAAUAUUGUUUUAUAAGAAAAUAGAAUAUUUUAUUGAAUAUUUUUAUUAUAUUCAAAUAGUCAUAAUUUUAUUUUAAAUGAAUGUUUUAGACAUCUAAACUUAUUUUUGAUUGUGAAAUAUGUGUUUUCCACUCGCAUACUACAUUUUUAGCUAGUUUCGAGAUUUUUGAAGAAAAAUGACCAAAAUACCCCUGUGAGAAAAAAAUUAUUUUUCUAUUGUUUUGAUUUGGAAAUAGUUUAUAAUCUGUCAAAACAUGAUACUUAACAACUGUUGCUCACAGGGGAGGUGCAAAAACUGAUAUUAAAGCCUUCCGAGGUUCCGGUUGACAUUCCGGGCGAUGAAUGUCUAUCAGGACGUCGCAGCGGUUGUCAGGGGCUCGAGGGGAGUAUCGAGUCGUGACAAAUUAUUUACGCAGAGUUCUAUAAAUAUUGUUUUAUAAGAAAAUAAAAUAUUUUAUGAAAUAUUUUUAUUUAAUUUGAAUAGCUAUAACUUCAUUUUAAAUUGAUGGAUUAGACAACGAAACUUAUUUUUAGAUAUGAAAUGGAUGCUUAUUACUUGUAUAUCAUAUUUUUACCAGGUUUCAAAAUUUUUGGGUAAAAUAACCAAAAUACCCCUGUGUAG